rnacentral:lncRNA from 1 species
AUAAAUCAUCUCAUAAUUAAAGAAAAAUAGAGAAGGAAGGGAAGAGAGAGAAGGAACAAUCUUUAUAUAUAUAUAGAGGGAUCAGUCGCUAGAGAGUGUGGACGAAGUGAAGAAAGUAUACAUCUAGGGUCUCAAAAGGAAGGUAGUGGAGGCGGAUUGAGUGAGGUGGAUCAAGAGAGGGAAGAGAGAGGAGAACAUGGAUUUUUUAGGGUUUGGGUUUUUUUGAGUUUGGGGCGGUGGAUCGAGGGAGGAAGAAAUAUGGUUAGGAGGGGAAAGAAGAGGAUUUUUCAAGAGGUCAGAGGUCAGGAGGAUGGAAAGCAAGGGAAGGGACCUAGAUCAAGAGAGGAAGAAGGGUGGAGAGGAUGCAUUUUUUAGGGUUAAGGUUUUUUGGAGUUGAGAGGACCGGACCGAGGGAAGAGCAAAUAGGGUCAAGGAGGGGAAAAAAGCCAUCUUCUCACUAGGGCAAAGGUGAGGAGAAUGGGGAAGAAGAGAGGGGAGUUGGAGCAAGGAAGGAAGAAGCAUGAAGAGUGGAUAGAUUUUAGGGUUAGGAUUUUAUCGGGUUGGGGGUGGUGGAGCGAGAGUAGAGACAAAAAGGG